rnacentral:rRNA from 1 species
AACGAACGCUGGCGGCAUGCCUAACAUAUGCAAGUCGAACGAGACCUUCGGGUCUAGUGGCGCACGGGUGCGUAACGCGUGGGAACCUGCCCUUAGGUUCGGAAUAGCUCCCCGAAAGGGGUGCUAAUACCGGAUAAUGUCUUCGGACCAAAGAUUUAUCGCCUUUGGAUGGGCCCGCGUUGGAUUAGCUAGUUGGUAGGGUAAAAGCCUACCAAGGCGACGAUCCAUAGCUGGUCUGAGAGGAUGAUCAGCCACACUGGGACUGAGACACGGCCCAGACUCCUACGGGAGGCAGCAGUGGGGAAUAUUGGACAAUGGGCGAAAGCCUGAUCCAGCAAUGCCGCGUGAGUGAUGAAGGCCUUAGGGUUGUAAAGCUCUUUUACCCGGGAUGAUAAUGACAGUACCGGGAGAAUAAGCUCCGGCUAACUCCGUG